rnacentral:piRNA from 1 species
UUAAAAAAAGGUUGAAAACGA